UGGGGAAUAUUGCACAAUGGGGGAAACCCUGAUGCAGCAACGCCGCGUGAGUGAUGACGGUCUUCGGAUUGUAAAACUCUGUCUUCAGGGACGAUAAUGACGGUACCUGAGGAGGAAGCCACGGCUAACUACGUGCCAGCAGCCGCGGUAAUACGUAGGUGGCAAGCGUUGUCCGGAUUUACUGGGCGUAAAGGGAGCGUAGGUGGAUAUUUAAGUGGGAUGUGAAAUACUCGGGCUUAACCUGAGUGCUGCAUUCCAAACUGGAUAUCUAGAGUGCAGGAGAGGAAAGUAGAAUUCCUAGUGUAGCGGUGAAAUGCGUAGAGAUUAGGAAGAAUACCAGUGGCGAAGGCGACUUUCUGGACUGUAACUGACACUGAGGCUCGAAAGCGUGGGGAGCAAACA
rnacentral:rRNA from 3 species